GACGAACGCUGGCGGCGUGCUUAACACAUGCAAGUCGAACGGAAAGGCCCUGCUUUUGUGGGGUGCUCGAGUGGCGAACGGGUGAGUAACACGUGAGUAACCUGCCCUUGACUUUGGGAUAACUUCAGGAAACUGGGGCUAAUACCGGAUAGGAGCUCCUGCUGCAUGGUGGGGGUUGGAAAAUUUCGGCGGUUGGGGAUGGACUCGCGGCUUAUCAGCUUGUUGGUGGGGUAGUGGCUUACCAAGGCUUAGACGGGUAGCCGGCCUGAGAGGGUGACCGGCCACAUUGGGACUGAGAUACGGCCCAGACUCCUACGGGAGGCAGCAGUGGGGAAUAUUGCACAAUGGGCGGAAGCCUGAUGCAGCAACGCCGCGUGCGGGAUGACGGCCUUCGGGUUGUAAACCGCUUUCGCCUGUGACGAAGCGUGAGUGACGGUAAUGGGUAAAGAAGCACCGGCUAACUACGUG
rnacentral:rRNA from 1 species